CGCAUGUACAUUUAUCCCAGAUGCUGACAGAGAGGUCUGCAACUCUCUGGAGGUGAUGCGUGGGUUGGCCUUUACCUGCAUUAUUAUUUUUCUGGUUCUUCUUUGUGUUCUGUUGUUGGGCUUCU